GUAGUGGCCUCUCUCAGGUGGAUGAAUAAUUGUGAAUAGAUGUUUAAUUCCCCAAGAACACCCCUUUGAUGACACCAACCUCUGCUCUUCUGGUGUAUCAGCAAUGGAAGGUUCAGUGGAGCUCUGCAUGAUCGAGGAGGGAGGACAGCGCAAGAGCGGGACAAAGAGAAAGAGAGAGAGUAACCAUUCAGACAAGAGCCAUGAGAGGAAGAGGAGGAAGACUGCUGACAGCAAUGCGAAUGAGAGGUUUUGGAAGAUAUUCUAGAAAAUUCUAGAACUCUCCUUGCCUACACAAUACAAGUGAACGCAUUCUCUGAAGCAAACUCCUCUCUAAAAAUUCUGCCAAAUUCACAUUUUGGAAUAAAAUUCUUUGAGGCUUUGAGCUA